rnacentral:lncRNA from 1 species
CUUGAAUCGUUCUGAGGCCAGAAUUGCUAAUUUAAGACCGGUCAUUUCAAUGUUGAAUUCAGCAAUCAAAACACUCUAUUCCAAUUUCUUAUACCAGAUUGUAUGGUGAUUACCAGUGUCUAUCAUUGACUUAAAGGAAUGAUGAAAGAGAACUGCAUUACUGGAUUUUCCUUUUCAGUAAGAAAAAUUAGAAACAUUUUACCUUUUAAAGAUAUGAUUUUGAAGGUCUCUAUUUCAUCAGUACUAUUUUACUACAGGUUAGAGUACUGAAAUUUGAUUUUUGAAAUGUACUUUUCUGAUUUAGAGUCCCGCAAAUGCGGUGUGGUAAUGCUAUAAGAAACUUGUGAUUUCAGGACAGCUCAUAGUAGUGAUCAGUAACUGUGGUAGCAUUUACAAGAAUAGGUGCUUAGAUUUUUAUCUGAAGUCUCAAGCAGUCAAGGAAACAACAGUAUUUUUAGUGUGGUUUCUUAAGAAAGCAAAGGUUUGUAUGAUCACUCAAUAUAUUAAAAUAUAUAUGUAUAUCAGCCAUACCACUUUGAGCUGAGGAUGUAACCAGACUCAUUUCCUCUCCUAGGCUGAUCGCUUUUUUUUCUCAGAAAGGAAAAAUACCUAAGGUGUUUUCAUAUGAGAUGUCCUGCAGGAUGCCAAAUAUGCCAGAAUUUAAUCAGGGAGCUGAGCCCUCAAGUGAAGGAGGAGGUUUUAGUAAUGAUUCAAAACACCUUUAAUUUGGGACAGAAACAGUCCAGCCACCUAUGUCAAACUUUGAUGGAGUGCAUGGAACACACGGAAUCUAGUACCCUUCCCUUGGAUUGCAAGAUAUCCCUGAUUGAUAUUGGGCUGGUGAUAGAGUACCUCCUUGGCGGAGCUUACCAGAGUAGCUACACAAGGAAACAUUUCAGAAUCCUGUAGAACAAUCUCUACAGAAAACACAAGGUAACAUCUGCAAAAUGGCUACUGCUGGUCACCAAGGAAAGCCAAAAUGUGACACCUAAAAAUAGCUCAGGUUAUCAUUGUGAUUUAACUGAAAAGUGUUGGUUAAAUGUAUUCCAUGCUUAGUCUGUUUUGUGGAUCUCUUAGUCAGCUGUGAUAACUUUGCAGAUAAAAUGGACAAAUCCCUCCCAAACUACCCCCCCCCCCCCAACCCCGGUGACCGUUAAAUUAACUAUUAUUAGUUCAUCAGACUCCCCUUUGUGUCUGAUAGACAGGUUGCAUUCUUUUCUCUGGCAUUCAUCAAUAAAAACCUUCAAGGCUGUACCA